rnacentral:lncRNA from 1 species
CCUAGAGUGAAAGGAGCCGACAGGUGUGGGGAGACGUGCUUGUCUCUGAACCCUCUCAGCUGGAAGUGAGAAAAUCUAAUGACCCUCCCAGGAUCUGCCACCCUCCACCCCUCACUUACCCUUGCAGUCUGAGAGCCAGUCCUUCCCCAGGACCUCUCUUUCCCUCUGUUCCUUAUCACCCAGCUCCAUCCAAGCUAGCUGUUCGUCCAGAGCUCCCAUUCCCUGAUGGAGAAAGCUGUAUCUCUCUAGGCUCCCUGGGCUGCUGGACACUCCAUCUCCCCUCAACAGAAUGGUGGCCUUCACCUUCCAGAAGGUGUUAGGCAGUGUUCCUGCCCCGUGACUCCCAGUCCUGGUGUUCAUACCCUGACUAAGUCCUCCUUUCGGAUUGGGGUGCACAGGACAUGUUUAUAGCCAACAAAGAAGGGCAAAGGUAAAGGAAUUUUACAGGUAAGUAGGGCUCUGAAUCAGCUGGGUUUGAGUUAACCAAAAUAGGUUUUUCUCUGGGUCCUGGCUCAGUCAUGUGAAAACCCUUGCAAGAGGGGCAGCCUUUCCUGAGUAGAGAACAUCUCCACACAGGUUUGAUGAAGCAAGCAGCCACCUUCAAGAGGCCUAGCUAGUGAAGAGCCACAGGCAGCCAAAGGGACUCUAAGGCAGCCUCUGGCAAAAAACUAGGGACCUCUAUCUUAUCACUGCAAGGAAAUGUGUGGAUGCAGAUUCUUCCCCAGCUGAGCCUCCUGAUGAGAUUGAGCCAUGAAUACCUUGAUGACAGUCUUGUGAGACCCUAGCACAGGGUCCAGGUAAGCCGUGCCCAGACUCCUAACCCGCAGAAAUGGGAAUCAAAAAGGGACACUGUCCUAGCCUGCUAACUUUGUGGUGAUCUGUUAUGCAACAAUAGAUUCUAUUACAGGCAGGGAGUUGGGAGGCUUCAAGAUGUCAGGCUGGAGCUUGGAGACGGCACAGGUGUCUUGCUUCAUCCAGAGUCUGAGUCCUAAAAAGCCCCCCAAACCCCACCUGAAGCCUCUAAUAGGCCAGAAUCAGCAGCUGGACAGUGGGUAGGUCCUAG